CAGGUGAGGUGGAUGCUGCGGGUCUAGGCCCAUACCGUGAGAACCGCGGUCCUGACUAUUGGGGACUGACUGCGGCCUGCUGCGGGAGCCCGCCUGCGCCCUCCAUGGAGACGCUUUGCCGCGGGCCCAGAGGGCCGGACCCCCAGGGCUGUGGUCCCCAAAGAUGAAGAGCCCAGUUUCCAAAAGGCUCACUUCUCCUAAGGCCAGGAAGGAGUGAAGAUGAGGAAGGGGACAGCAGACGCAGCUGCUUCACUGGCGACUGCGGGAGGGGUACAAGCCUCGUCCCUACUUCUGAAGAAGAAAAGCUGUGAAGGGACUGAGAGCGCUACCUGAGGAGUCAAGCCGGGAGGGCAAACAACGUCAUCAACCUGAGUUUUGCAUUCCUGACUGCCCCCUAGGCCAGAGUUCUCCUCCUCAGCUUGCUCCUCUACUGCUUAACGAGGUCGCUGACCUCAUGGCUGGGAAUACCAGAAUGCUUCUGGUCCAUCUAUAUUACUGUCUCUGAGAAUCCUUCUCUUCUUCAACUCCCUUGUUUUAUUAUCUUACUUUUGUCAAAUGAUCUUCCACACUUGUUUUACUGCCUAUCGUCCCUCCAGAAUGUAACAUCUAAGUGGGUGAGGUUUUGUCUGGCACAAUCAAUA